rnacentral:rRNA from 1 species
GCGUUAUGGAGUGGUUUUAGAUGGGCUCACGGCCUAUCAGCUUGUUGGUGAGGUAAUGGCUUACCAAGGCGACGACGGGUAGCCGGCCUGAGAGGGUGACCGGCCACACUGGGACUGAGACACGGCCCAGACUCCUACGGGAGGCAGCAGUGGGGAAUAUUGCACAAUGGGCGCAAGCCUGAUGCAGCGACGCCGCGUGAGGGAUGACGGCCUUCGGGUUGUAAACCUCUGUUAGCAUCGAAGAAGCGAAAGUGACGGUAGGUGCAGAGAAAGCGCCGGCUAACUACGUGCCAGCAGCCGCGGUAAUACGUAGGGCGCGAGCGUUGUCCGGAAUUAUUGGGCGUAAAGAGCUUGUAGGCGGUUGGUCGCGUCUGCUGUGAAAGGCCGGGGCUUAACUCCGGUUUUGCAGUGGGUACGGGCUAACUAGAGUGCAGUAGGGGAGACUGGAAUUCCUGGUGUAGCGGUGGAAUGCACAGAUAUCAGGAGGAACACCGAUGGCGAAGGCAGGUCUCUGGGCUGUAACUGACGCUGAGAAGCGAAAGCAU